UCAAAGCAAAGACAUCAAGAGUUUAGCAGUUCUCUGUGAAAAUGUCCCAGAUCUUCAGAGGUUCAUAGAUCAGCUGCAUCUGACUUUAUUGGAGAGCUUUACUUUUAACAUCAAGGUGAUCAAGACAGUUAGGUGUCAGGUGUUUGUGGGUUUUUUUCUGACAUGCUAGUACUGCACUGUACUUUACUGGGAAUUUUUAACUGUGGAGAAAAUGUCAAAUAAGAUUACCUUCAAGACACACAAAAAUGGGUCUCAGCUACUCUGAGUUGUUUUCUAGACCUCAUUUGAAAGUGCAUUUGUAUCAUCUAAGGACACCAGAAACUAUGUAAUGAUGUGAAGAAAGGACCUGCAAGCCAUGGAAUGAAGAAAAUAUCUUUGCAGGAGCAGUGUUUCUUGCAGAUCUCUGGAGAGUCAAGAAAAUGCAGUCUAGCUGCCCCAAAUGGCUUUCUGGAGAAUUAAGUAUGUCUCCUGGGGAAAUAAAGGAACACUACUGACAAUAUUACUUUCAGAGAUAUUGAUAGAAAGCUUCCAACAGGAAACUUGAAAGAAAAAACCUAUUACCUAUAAGAAUCAGAGAAUCACAGAAUGGAUCAGGAUGGAAGGGACUGCAGUGGGUCAAGCUCUCCAACCUCCCUGCUCAAGUAGGGUCAUCCUAGAACACAUGGCACAGGAUUGUUUCCGGAUACUUCUUGAAUAUCUCCAGUAAGGGAGACUCCAUAACCUCAACCAGUUCUCAAUCCAUCCCACUGUCCAUUAAUCUGCACCACAAUUCUUGAUUUGGCCUGUGAGGAUUUCAUGAAAGAAUCUCACUUUCUCUCUUUUUUUUUAAUGAUUGAAUGUUUUAAUGUUUGAGUUAAAUUUAUAACAUAUAUUUAAGCUUUGACAAAGAUUUGACAAAGCAAAAUAAUAGAUUGUGAAAUUACAAUUAUCAUGACAUAUGCUCCUGGGACAAAGAGGAAAUGUUGAAUAAGGAAUGUCUCCUAUGCAAAGAAGUUCUUUUAAAAUUAAACAAAGCAACAAUUUUAAUACUUUUCUUAUUCAGUGUAUCAAUGUAUAUAAAAAUCUUUAACAAUAAAGUUAACUUUCUUGUCUUCUUUCAUACAAGCCCUGCCUUUUGCCACUGUGCUUUGAGAGCAAUAGAAGUACCUGCAAUUACCAUCUCAUAACCUCAUGGAAUUUUGUGUCCUUUUUCUUUAAAAAUAAAGAAAAUUAAGCUCUAAAAUUACAUUUUUAUCCAGACUAAUUCCAUCUUCCUCCAUUAACUUGUUCAUAUGAAAUUUAAGGAAUUCUAGAGUGAAUGGGACAGACUACAGUGCUAAAAACAUUUCUGCCUUUGCCAGUCAAGAUUUUGUGAGUACAAGAUUCCUCAGCUCAUGGAAAGUCAAAAUCCAUUUUUAAGGGUUUUCAGUUUCAUGAGAUUUAUAAACACAAACAUAAAAAUUGAGACAAUGUAAGUAAACUGCAACUAACUGCAAACACACUAUAGGCUUUGCAGAGGUAAAGUACAAAGAUAACCUGCUUCAUAAGCAAAUUUAUGAAACUCCUAGAGAAGGCUUCAGCUAGCAGAACCAUAGGUUCAAAACAAAAUGCAGAAUGUUUAUAUAAGCAAAUUGCAUUAAUAGGAUAGUUGUGUUAAAUGAGUUGCUUUUAUCAGGAGAAAAAAAGCUAAUAGAACUGGAGAGAUGAUUUAAAUUUGUAGUGAUAAUUUAACAAGAUUAAUAUGUACUUUUCUAUUUUAGAAGAAAGCUCUGAGAAGUAUAAUUGAUUAAAGUGCAUUUGAUUCAGAUACUGUAAUGUGACAAGAAGCUAAAUUAUUUUUUAAAGUACUCAGAACAUUGCAGAACACUUGUAGCAUAGUGUAAAAUUUUCCUCACUUGAUGUUUGCUGUCAUAGGCCCAAGAACAUUUCUCAAUUUUAUAGUUACAGAGAUUUCCUGGAUAAUAGUUCCAAUAGAAGAGAGAUGAGUCUAAAAGAGUUCCCCAGUGCAUCUGUGGAAAAUGAUCAUAACUGUUUUGGGAUGAGUGCUCAUAUGAAACCCUGAGGCUGUUCAGAUUAGAACAUUUGAAAAUAGAGUAAUUAUUCAAGAUGACUACUUGAUUAUUGUGUUAUUUUUCUUAUUUUUCACAUACUUUUUUUUAAAUUGGUUUCAAUUCAAGAUUGAUAUCUCAACUGAGGUACGUUUAUGAGGGCAAAGUAUUUAAAAUCACACAAUCCUUAAUGGCAGUUUAAUCAAGGAGAAGCUCAGAUGAAAUGUUGUGGGCACCUUGCUUGUAUUCCUUCAGUCCUAAUAUUUUCAUUGUAAAGAGAAUUUUCUUUGCCUAGAACCUUUUCAAUUACCAUGGCCAGAAAAAGCCCUUAGCAGUCUAAAUAUCUUCCAUAUACUCCUGAAAUAAACCUUUCACUGUAAUUUCACCAAAAAUCAACUCUGUGAAUUCCAAGACCCUGCUAGAAUGAAAAAUAAAUUGCAGUUUGUAGAUAGAGCUGGGACAUUUGUUGCUCUUCAUGUAACAAUGUUAUUGUAAUUAACUUGUGAUGCCACUCAUUGCAACCAUGGCACAGUUCUAGUUUAUGGCAAUGAGCUGUGUUGACCAAAAUCAGGAUUCAGUAAUCUAAAUGUAAGUUGUUUAAGAUAUUUGAGAGACUCUACUGUUCCUUUUAUAUCUCUAAUUGCUACAAAAUAGUGUAGUUUCUCUAAAAAGGUCUUAUGCUAUAUUUACCUAUUCCAGAACUUUAAUGCCAAUGUGUCCCAUUAUGACAUAAUCAAUAUACAUACUGUCAAGGGGAUAAAAGUCCCCUUGUUUUAAUCUGGUUUCUGAAAAAAAAUAGCAUCUAUUAUCUGAGUUAUAAAUUAUUAUUUAUUAUAGGAAUUUGAAAACAAGAUAUAAAGAAAAUAUUAUAUGUUGCUUGGUUUAAUUUUUCCUAUUAAGUCUAAGAAAUGAUGUUGAUUUGUUAGUGUUCAACCCAUUAAUAUGAAGACCUAUGUAGCUUUACCUACCAAGAGGUAUUAUAUGAAGAGAAGACAUAAAAAUAGCUUAAGGUCAUAUACAGUUUUCUGGGGAAAAAAUGCAAUGGUAACAUUAAAAGAAAAAUUACAAUCUUCUAACAAGGACAUCUUAUUACACAAUUUUCCACUAAAACCACUUCCAAACGUGCUUCAUUAUGUAGUUCACUAAUGGCAUUUCAGACCCUCAAAAAUGUUAGGAACUUCAACAUUGAGUUCAUAUGAAUUUUGAACUCAAGAGAAAGAGGCUCCUCACAGCUUGAGGUCAUUAAUUUGCAAGCUAUUUGUCAGUUGCACAGUAAGCAGAUGGAAUGUGCUCAUCAGAGUACAAUUUAAAUGUGAAAUAAAUUAAAAUAAAGAAAAUUUAAAAUUAUGUGAUCAAGCUGGGACAACAUCCAAAUACUUCUAAGCAUGAGAAUUAAAUAGAUUGGAAGCUGAUAAGGAAAAGAAAAAAAAAGGCAAUAUACCAAAUGAAAUCACUUUAAAAAGAAAUCGAUCUUAUAUCUUUAUUUUGUGAGCUCUUUGGUAGAAAGUUCUAUCUGAUGACUUAGUUUAGGGAAGGAAAAGGCCUUCAGUCAUGAAAAGUAGCUUCAAGAUGUAAUUCUGUAAGAAACAAUACAUAGUCUAACUUUUUUCUUUUUUGGUGACUUUUUAAGCUUGAUAUUUUAACUCUGAAUCAAGAGUACAGAUUACAAUAUGCUGUCUACAUUGGACAAAAGAUUAGCUAGCUUUAUAAAAUUGAUUUAAACAUUUGUGACACUGAAACUUAUAUGAAAGCAGUUCUCCAGUCUUUUUCUGAAUUUUUCUGAUUUAAAAUACAAGACAGUAUCAUGAUCCAAUACUCCUAUGUAAACUGAAUUAUAACAAAAUCAUGAGCAUUAAUCCUUUCAGUACUCAAGCAUUUAAUACUUCUCAGGACUGAUAUGUAGAAGCUAAAGUAUUUCUGGUAGUUCUCUUUCUUUUGACAGCUUCUGUUUAUCGUUUGUUGUCUCAGAUAAUAGUAGGAGAAGGUAUAAUGAAAUAUUGGAAUACAUACUAAUAAUGCUAUAAGUAAGGAUUUAUAUUUUCUAUUUUUUGUUGCAAUAUGUAAGAUUAUUUAUAGUCUGUGCAUUCCUGUAUAUGUGAGUACACAUACAUGUGUCAGUCUGUAUGUGUUUAGGUAGAUAUUUUAUACACUCCUGCGGGUAGAUUAUAUUCUUCUGUUAUUUGUACUGUAAUGUAUCUUUCUUAAACAAAAUAUUAGAUAUAAUUCAUGCUUUAUCUCCGAAAUUCAAAUUUUUGAUCAUGUGAUUUAAAGGAAAAAAAUCCUAACAUUAAAAUAAAGUUCUUUCAUUCUUCUUGGUUA